UCGAAAUAGCAUGUAGCUUGUACAGUGCUCAGGACAGGCUGACAGCCAAUUAUCAACAUCUUUGUCUCCACAGAAUUCCUUUUUAUAUACAUCCUCAAUUCCAGUUCUGGACUUGAAAAGGAGACCAUUUUUCUAGAGAGGGAUUUCCUCCAAUAUCUCAUCUCUCGGUGUCUCUGUGUGUUUUAACAGGCAGGCAGGCACUCCCAUGGGGUUACAGUCUUGCAAGCUUUCCAGCUCCUGCCUACAAAGUGAGGAGGAAUGCAAACCGUCUUGUGGCUGCUGCUGUAUGUGCGAGGACUGGAGAUAUUGCUCUGACCAUUGCUGUGACAUCUGCUGCCAGAUGUGUAUGGAUGUGUGCACUGGCCUCUGUCCUGCAGACUGCAGCUAUUCCUUCUGUUAUCUCUGCCUUACAUUUGUACAGAACUGUCUUGGUUUUUUCCAGCAAACAAACAGAAGCAUAACGGAGACAGAAACCAGUAGCAAGUCCACAACAGCAUGCCAAGCGAUUGUCUGACAAACCAAACGCAAAAGACUGACUUAGAGAAAAAGAAAAAGAAAAAGAAAGCUUUACAAGGACUAUGGUGCUCCAUGAAAACCUGUUCUGCACUGCCAAAAAGCAGUCCUGUUGUUUAAAACUAAUGAAAACCCAGCAGGCUCAACUGUCCUCAAGCUGUAAUAAAGUAUUUGGU